rnacentral:lncRNA from 1 species
ACAAGCAGGAGGGUGAAAGGAUUGGAGCAAGGCGAUGCAAGAGCCACCUUGCAGCACAGGUUAGUAAUAGGAUUUCAAAGCAUGAAUUUUAUUCUUUUAACUUGUUAAUCAUUUUAAUUAUUUUUUAUUUGGAUUGUGAUGAGCAGAGGGAAAGAACAGGAAAGAUGAGAGCGAAAGAUCUGACUGGAUAUUUCCAUCAUCCGAUUACAGCUGCAUCUAAGGAAAUAAAUGUAUGACAGUUUGCAAUGAAGAUGAUAUGUCGUAAGGGAGGCAUGAGUAAGGUGGCCUCAUAGAAAGGCCCCCCCACCCUCUCUCUCUCUCUCUCUCAAUGCAGUACCAAUUUGUAAUGAAUCAUAGACAUAAAUAUAGAUGAAAAACCAGCAGAGCAAUCUAAUAAAAUUAUGUAUGAUACCAUACUUUUACAUAAUUUUGGUAGAGGAGAAACUAGCAGAGCAAUCUGAUAAGUACAUUCACAAUUUUUAGUAUUCGAAAAUAAAUACAUUCACAU